UUUGUAUCAUGAUGGUAUACAACGUUCGGGCAACCUUUACUUUCGACAUUUCUGCGCCGUAAUUUUUUGCUAACCGUUAUAAGAGAGGGAACAACAGUAAAAAGAGAAAGAACUGAAGACGAUUUUAACAAGCGAGAAUUGUUCACCCUUAGAAUGUAAAAAUACAGCUACUAAAGACUAUUAAAUAGUGAACAUAACAUACUAAACAUAGAAGAAUGAUACUUGGAUGGUUUUUUAAAUAAUUGUUUUCAGUGAGACCUA